rnacentral:rRNA from 1 species
GACAGAUUGAGAGCUCUUUCUUGAUUCGGUGGGUGGUGGUGCAUGGCCGUUCUUAGUUGGUGGAGCGAUUUGUCUGGUUAAUUCCGAUAACGAACGAGACUCUAGCCUGCUAAAUAGGUGACGGGUUUUAUCAAUUGAAACCGAAGGGAGUACGGAGGCGUCGGGAUCAGGUGGCGUUGGUUUCGGGUUUCAGCUGGUUCAGUUCCUUUAGUGAAGUUGUUUAGCUGUCUCGGUUUUUGCUUGUCGUUUCGGAAAGGGGGGUUGCGGCGCAAGUCGUGGCUUUCUGGACUGGGCGAUGGGUGAGGCUUGGAUGGCGGCGCUACGCGGGGGUUGGAUCGACGGUUAUUCGGCCAGUGUCAUCCCCGGCGAUACCUUCUGCUCUCGCGUCCGUCACGCAGUCUUCUUAGAGGGACAAGCGGCGUCCAGCCGCGUGACAGUGAGCAAUAACAGGUCUGUGAUGCCCUUAGAUGUCCUGGGCCGCACGCGCGCUACACUGAAGGAAUCAGCGUGUUUCACUCUCCCUGUCCGAAAGGACCGGGUAACCGCUGAACCUCCUUCGUGGUUGGGAUUGGGGACUGCAAUGA